GCGGCGUGCUUAACACAUGCAAGUCGAACGGAAAGGCCCUGCUUUUGUGGGGUGCUCGAGUGGCGAACGGGUGAGUAACACGUGAGUAACCUGCCCUUGACUUUGGGAUAACUUCAGGAAACUGGGGCUAAUACCGGAUAGGAGCUCCUGCUGCAUGGUGGGGGUUGGAAAGUUUCGGCGGUUGGGGAUGGACUCGCGGCUUAUCAGCUUGUUGGUGGGGUAGUGGCUUACCAAGGCUUUGACGGGUAGCCGGCCUGAGAGGGUGACCGGCCACAUUGGGACUGAGAUACGGCCCAGACUCCUACGGGAGGCAGCAGUGGGGAAUAUUGCACAAUGGGCGGAAGCCUGAUGCAGCAACGCCGCGUGCGGGAUGACGGCCUUCGGGUUGUAAACCGCUUUCGCCUGUGACGAAGCGUGAGUGACGGUAAUGGGUAAAGAAGCACCGGCUAACUACGUGCCAGCAGCCGCGGUGAUACGUAGGGUGCGAGCGUUGUCCGGAUUUAUUGGGCGUAAAGGGCUCGUAGGUGGUUGAUCGCGUCGGAAGUGUAAUCUUGGGGCUUAACCCUGAGCGUGCUUUCGAUACGGGUUGACUUGAGGAAGGUAGGGGGAGAAUGGAAUUCCUGGUGGAGCGGUGGAAUGCGCAGAUAUCAGGAGGAACACCAGUGGCGAAGGCGGUUCUCUGGGCCUUUCCUGACCCUGAGGAGCGAAAGCGUGGGGAGCGAACAGGCUUAGAUACCCUGGUAGUCCACGCUGUAAACGGUGGGUACUAGGUGUGGGGUCCAUUCCACGGGUUCCGUGCCGUAGCUAACGCUUUAAGUACCCCGCCUGGGGAGUACGGCCGCAAGGCUAAAACUCAAAGGAAUUGACGGGGCCCCGCACAAGCGGCGGAGCAUGCGGAUUAAUUCGAUGCAACGCGUAGAACCUUACCUGGGUUUGACAUGGAUCGGGAGUGCUCAGAGAUGGGUGUGCCUCUUUUGGGGUCGGUUCACAGGUGGUGCAUGGCUGUCGUCAGCUCGUGUCGUGAGAUGUUGGGUUAAGUCCCGCAACGAGCGCAACCCUUGUUCACUGUUGCCAGCACGUUAUGGUGGGGACUCAGUGGAGACCGCCGGGGUCAACUCGGAGGAAGGUGGGGAUGACGUCAAGUCAUCAUGCCCCUUAUGUCCAGGGCUUCACGCAUGCUACAAUGGCUGGUACAGAGAGUGGCGAGCCUGUGAGGGUGAGCGAAUCUCGGAAAGCCGGUCUCAGUUCGGAUUGGGGUCUGCAACUCGACCUCAUGAAGUCGGAGUCGCUAGUAAUCGCAGAUCAGCAACGCUGCGGUGAAUACGUUCCCGGGGCUUGUACACACCGCCCGUCAAGUCAUGAAAGUUGGUAACACCCGAAGCCGGUGGCCUAACCGUUGUGGGGGAGCCGUCGAAGGUGGGACUGGUGAUUAGGACUAAG
rnacentral:rRNA from 1 species